rnacentral:rRNA from 1 species
CCAGCACGUAAUGGUGGGCACUCUAAGGAGACUGACCGGUGACAAACCGGAGGAAGGUGGGGAUGACGUCAAGUCAUCAUGGCCCUUACGGCCAGGGCUACACACGUGCUACAAUGGUCGGUACAAAGGGUUGCCAAGCCGCGAGGUGGAGCUAAUACCCAUAAAACCGAUCGUAGUCCGGAUCGCAGUCUGCAACUCGACUGCGUGAAGUCGGAAUCGCUAGUAAUCGUGAAUCAGAAUGUCACGGUGAAUACGUUCCCGGGCCGUU